CUUUAAUGCUAGUGGUGUUUCUGCGCAUAAUUAGGGUUAGGGAAUCAUCCUGGACAUGAUACCUCAAAUAUUUUGGUUUAUAGAGGAGAGGUGUGCUUUUACUUGACACUUAGAAGAUAAAAUGGGUGAAAAAGUCUCAUAAAACUAAAAAAAACACUCAAAUUUUAUUUUGAAAAUAUUGAAAUCUUGUUGACUUUGACUUUGCUAUCCUAGGAAAUUUAUAAUCUUUAUAUUUUUCUCUUUCUGAUGUUUUCUCCAGUUCCAUCAGGCCGUCUGGCCCACACACAAAGAACAUAGAAAGACCAGAGUCUGCUCCUCCUUCUAGACAGCCUUUUGCGGUCUCCCCCUCUUGUUCACAACCCUCUUCAGAUACCCCAGGAGAACUCAUCAAGUCUGAAGGAUGCACAGGUCCUGUUAGGAGGAGAGGAGGGGAGGAAGGGGGUUCUUCUUCCAGCCUUUCUCCCUCAAUAUCCUCCAUUCAUUGGCCCAGUAGCGCCCUCCUGCCCUGGCCGAGCAGCCUGACCAGCCAAUCAGAGCACGGGAGUGAUCAGGGGGAUGAAAAAGCACAGGAUGGCCAAUAUCCACAUCCAGCCAACCAGCAGAUCCGCUCUCACAGAAGCCCUUCCCUCCAUGUGCCUUAUCACCACGGUGACCACCUCGAAGCCCAAAGUUCCGUUCAGCUAACAAAUCAGCACAGGAGUUUGUCUCUCGAAUAGACUAGCUGAAGAGUGCACUGAGAGGCUCUUCAAUCUCUACAGCGAGAGGUGAAACGACUGAAGGAGAGACUAGAGGGAAAUCUGAGACUCUCCAAACCUGCCAGUCCUGUUAGAGUGGCCUCUUCUGCCACAGAAGAUGCCAGGGAUCAGGCAUCCCCACGGACCGCAAGGUACCCGAAAUCAAUUGUUGGCAUUUUGAUCUUAGACUGUCCAUAUUAUGUUAGCUAAAACUUUUAAUUCAUAAAGUGAUUUCAUGAUGUUCCUCAUUUAUUAGGUCUUCAGACAGGAGAAGGCGGCAGACAGAGAGAGUGAGAAAUGGAGAACAAGAGAGAGGAAACUCAACAAGACGCACUCUGAAGCAAAAAUCUGUGUCUUUACCUCAACAUCGGCCUCAAACUGAUCUGAGUAUGUUUAGCUAAAUGUACAUUUUUGAAUGUUAAUGGUAGAAUACAUUUGGAUGCAAAGAGAUUUUCUUAAUGGUCCUAGAUGACAAAACGCUUGGAUGUCAUAUUGGUUGUUUGAGUCUGUUACGCUCUGAUAGAGAUAUUAAAUUACUUUUUCCACCAUGCUUUUGUUACCCCUUCUUCAGCAACUGACUCUGAGCUUGUCCAGUCUGAGCCACGACCAUCAACAUUCAGACAUGUCCUGGUGUCCCCAGUGACAUCAAGAGGAAGAAGAGAAACCAGAGGAUGUGUACAUCACAAAGAGGACAGUACCUGUAAGGAAAGAUCUUUGUUGUAACUCAACAUGACAUGACCAGGUUUUAGUAUGAUGAUCAAGAAUAAAUUGUGGUCAUUUUAAUUGAACAUCAGCAGGCAUAUCCAACAACAGUGAUGAAACCGAAUCAAGCCGAGGGCCAGAACCUGCCUGCCCACAUUGCAUAUCAGACCGCACUGGUACUUUGACACGUAAGCAUCUUAACAUGGUAAUGGGGGCUAAAGUUAACCAAACGUACAAUUUCAUGGACUAUCCUCCUGUCCUUUAAACUAAUUAAAUUAAUAAAAGGUCCAGUGAGGAGUAGGAGCUCUCCACAUCUCACACAGCCUUCCUGCAACCAUUGCCCAUUGUGUGGUGCAUAACAAGCCAAUCAAAGACCCUCUCAACCAGGUUUGAUAAUUCAUUAUCUAUAAACUAUUUUUUUAUAGUUCGUCCUGAAGAUGUAAAGUAUUCGCCUAAUACAACUUGUAUCACCAAGAAUCAUGUUGACUCCCAAAUGUGUGUUUAUUUAGCCAACCAGAUGCCAGCCUCGACCCCCAGAGGGAGUCAGCCAAUGAGAUCCUUACAGAGGGACAAAGGAGGUGUAAAUGUGACUCCUCCCCCCACAGUCCUGGGAGGUGUUCCAGUUGUCCCAUAUGUUCCUGUCUGUCCUUCAGCUCUGUGAGUACCUCAGGAUAAAGUGGCUAUUAGUGUAAUUUACUUGCUUCUUCCUCUGCAACUGCUUUGAUCAGUGAAUCAGACUCAUGAGAAUGCAUGAGAACAACUUCCUCUCAACUUCCUG
ensembl:lncRNA